GCUUAGGUAGUAUAUUUAUUACUUUGGUCUUGUAAACCAAAAAUGGAGAGUUAAUUCUCCCCAAAGCA
rnacentral:tRNA from 2 species